CCUACGGGCGGCUGCAGUGGGGAAUAUUGGACAAUGGGCGAAAGCCUGAUCCAGCCAUGCCGCGUGUGUGAAGAAGGCCUUCGGGUUGUAAAGCACUUUCAGUGGGGAAGAAAGCCUUGGGGCUAAUACCCUCGAGGAAGGACAUCACCCACAGAAGAAGCACCGGCUAACUCCGUGCCAGCAGCCGCGGUAAUACGGAGGGUGCGAGCGUUAAUCGGAAUUACUGGGCGUAAAGCGCGCGUAGGCGGUCUGAUAAGCCGGUUGUGAAAGCCCCGGGCUCAACCUGGGAACGGCAUCCGGAACUGUCAGGCUAGAGUGCAGGAGAGGAAGGUAGAAUUCCCGGUGUAGCGGUGAAAUGCGUAGAGAUCGGGAGGAAUACCAGUGGCGAAGGCGGCCUUCUGGACUGACACUGACGCUGAGGUGCGAAAGCGUGGGUAGCAAACAGGAUUAGAUACCCCUGUAGU
rnacentral:rRNA from 1 species